ensembl:lncRNA
GUCCCUAUGGGGUCCCUAUGGGGUCCCUCCGCCCCACAGCGCUUCCCCCGGAGCUGCUGCCGCUGUUGGCCGCCAUGUUGGACCCGGACCCACAGCGGCGCCCCACAGCGGAGGCUCUGCUGCAGUCGGCCCCUAUGCGGCGUGUGGGGCGAUGGCGGCCGCUCCUCCGCCUCCUGGAUGUGGGGCUGCGCCGGGGGGCGGAGCUGCUGCAGAGCUGCCGUGCCGCCCUCCGGCGGAUGUGGGGCGCUCUAUGGGGCAGAGCUAUGGGGCAGAGCACUCCGCCCCACACCCCCCUCCUGCCCCACAUCGACCCAUGGGAUGAUGAGGAGGAAGAGGAGGACAGCGAAGCUCUAUGGGGCCGCAGCCCCCCCGGGAGCACCCCCGAGGGCAGCCCCACAGCUAUGGGGCGCCUGCGCCGCACUCUCACCUUCGAGGAGGAUUCAGAGCCCCAUAGCGCCGCCCCAUAGCGCCGCCCCAUAGCGGGAGCGCUGAUUGGCUGACGGGAUGGAAACGACGCUUCAUGAUUGGCCGAUGGGACAGGACUGAGUUCUGAUUAGCUGAAGUAAUGAAAUCAACGACGCUGAUUGGCCAAAGGAAUGGCGCGGUGCUUCUGAUUGGCCGGUGGGACGGCGCUGCGUUCCGAUUGGCCAAAGGAAUGGGAUCAACGCUUCCGAUUGGUCGAAGGGUGGUGGUUGGAACCGCCCACUAAAGCGCUGCGCGGCAACGGAGCGAGGGGGCGUGGCCAAAGCUAAGCCCCGCCCCCUUUCACCCCCCCCCCCCCCCCCCCCCCCCCCCCCCGUUGCAAUCCCAUUGGCGGACAUCAAAGUGGCAGCACCAUAUAUGGGCGUGGGCUGCGCGUGGUCUAUUUGCAUAGCCACGCCCAGCUCCCCCCGGCGAUUUGAAUAAAGCUUUCA